CACGUAGGCACCAAGCGUUGUCCGGAUUUAUUGGGCGUAAAGAGCUCGUAGGCGGUUCAGUAAGUCGGGUGUGAAAACUCUGGCUCAACCCAGAGACGCCACCCGAUACUGCUGUGACUUGAGUACGGUAGGGGAGUGGGGGAAUUCCUGGUGUAGCGGUGAAAAUGCGCAGAUAUCAGGAGGAACACCAGUGGCGAAGGCGCCACUCUGGGCCGUAACUGACGCUGAGGAGCGAAAGCGUGGGUAGCAAACAGG
rnacentral:rRNA from 1 species